rnacentral:rRNA from 1 species
GACGAACGCUGGCGGCGUGCUUAACACAUGCAAGUCGAACGGAAAGGCCCUGCUUUUGUGGGGUGCUCGAGUGGCGAACGGGUGAGUAACACGUGAGUAACCUGCCCUUGACUUUGGGAUAACUUCAGGAAACUGGGGCUAAUACCGGAUAGGAGCUCCUGCUGCAUGGUGGGGGUUGGAAAGUUUCGGCGGUUGGGGAUGGACUCGCGGCUUAUCAGCUUGUUGGUGGGGUAGUGGCUUACCAAGGCUUUGACGGGUAGCCGGCCUGAGAGGGUGACCGGCCACAUUGGGACUGAGAUACGGCCCAGACUCCUGCGGGGGGCAGCAGUGGGGAAUAUUGCACAAUGGGCGGAAGCCUGAUGCAGCAACGCCGCGUGCGGGAUGACGGCCUUCGGGUUGUAAACCGCUUUCGCCUGUGACGAAGCGUGAGUGACGGUAAUGGGUAAAGAAGCACCGGCUAACUACGUG